CUCCCUCCGGCCUUCAGCUUCUGUUCCUGCCUGUUGUCUGCCUCCUCCAUCGAACGCUGGAGCUGCUCCGAUCCCUCCCCCAGCUGCAGGGUGCAUCAGCUCUGACCGUACCAGGUGGGAUGAGAUCCAGAGCAUCUGAUGUGGGUUUAUUAUAGCUCUCCUGCUUACACAGAAUGGAUGUGGACCAGCACGGAUUUUCACCUGGGGCUUGUUCUGCACUCUGGCCCCUGUGCAGGAUCUAAGCAGGUACAGCAAUGCUGAACAUGGGGAUCACACCAUAUCAAGUGUUACGCCUGGCAGAGCCAGGGCUACUCAGACAACAGAGAACUGGAGAAUAUCCCAAACUGCUGAGAGCGGUCCUGCUCAUCAACGCGUGUUGGCAGCUCUCGCCUGGGCAGGACCCUUCUCCCACCCUACCCAACAGGGCAUGGUGAACGAGCCACACUUCUGACAUGCUCCCUUCAGCCACUGCUCACCCCCCGUGUUACGAAAAGGAACCGUUUCGGAGGUGGACCAGACCCAGCUCCCUCGGGGUUGAGGCUACAUCCAGCUGGCUGCCUCCUCUCCUCCCCUGGGGAUGCUCCGGCCACCCCUGCACGGAGCUGCCAUGCAACCCCUGCACCGCUGAUUCCCGCAUCCCGUGCGGCAGCGGGGAUUAUCCCUCCCUGGCGUCUUGCUGUCCGGCUCCGUGAGCUGAGGCACAUCCCCGGGGAGGGAUCGGCAGGGGCUCAGGCUGAAGCUGGGCCAGAGAUGAAUCAGCUCUUCCGUCCCUGCUUCCCCUUCCCUCCAAUGAUCCCGGCGCGGAGGCCAGAGGCGAUGGCUGAUGGGCUGAGGGUGAGCAAGGAGGGAAGCUCACCUCUUUGCGUCGUCUCUGGGAAUUGCACUUCACUGGGAGUUAAGUCUCCCAGAUGAGAGAGCAAAAUGGUCA